ACCUCGGUGGCUCAAUGGAUAGAGCACCAGGCCUGGAAUCAGGAAGACCUGGGUUCAAAUCAAGGCUCAGGUA
rnacentral:tRNA from 1 species